CAGGACCCUGCGAUCAUGACCUGAGCCGAAGGCAGAGGCUUCACCCACUGAGCCCUGCAGGCGUCCAAGAAGGGUUUUCUUUAAUCAGACUGAAUCUGAUCGUUACUUGGCAAAGAACCGGCCAUUAAAAUUCUAAGAAUUCAAGAAUUCCACGUACAGAGAAACUCAUUCGUGAGACAGCAAACGAAAGGUGUCUUCACAGUCUGUAAACAACCCCGUUUGCCACACCCAAAGUCUCCAGAAAAAUGCCGAACGCCUCUGGCAGAGGGACAGGUGUAUCCCGGAGAAGACCUGGACGCCGGCAAACAAGGUCCCACGACCGCUGAGCAAGUCCCAGACGGGCCGACUCGGCGUAGGGCAAGGGCAGGUGAGAGCAGGAAGGAGGAAGCGCACGAAGGUUCUCGUCCUGGUAGCGGGUUUUCAAACUGGUGAAGGAAGUUGGGGGGAAACUGACAUGCGGAAAGACGGGCGAUAUCAACAGACGGCCACACGCAUGGUGAAGAAGGGAUAUGAUGCGACACGCAGGGAAGAAACCUUAG